AAAACACAUUUAAAGGCUCAGUUUUCAUCUGCAUGUGGGCUUUUUCACGUCUGUUUUGCUCCAGGAGGGUUUUUCCACAGAGAGUCACUUUGCAUCGACACAUGCUUCAGCGCUCCGAGUGUUUAUAGCGUUCAGACUCAAACACUUUAUAACACACUGCUGUUUACCACGGUACAAAACCAACAAACACAAUGAAUCUCUUCAGCAGCUUCAUCUGGAUUCUGACAGCUUUUAUUCCAGCAUCCAGAGGAAUCACUGUGACUCAGCCUGAAGUUCUGACUGUUUCUGAAGGACAAGACACCACUAUAGAGUGUAAAACUAAUCCUGGAAUAACUGGCUGGGGUUUACAUUGGUAUCAGCAGAAACCUGGAGAAGCUCCUAAACUCAUAAUUUAUGCUGCAGAUAGUCUUUAUGAUGACAGUUUGAGUCGAUUCAGUGGGAAUGGAGAACAAGGUGGGACUGAUUUCACUCUGACCAUCAGUGGAGUCCAGACUGAAGAUGCUGGACAUUAUUACUGUCAGAGUGCACACUAUAUCAGUAGUAGCUGGGUGUUAACACAGUGAUAAAGAGUCGUACAAAAACCUCCGUCAGUCAGAGUCACAGAGACUGAACUGAUCCUGCAGCUGCUCAAACACUAUCACUCACUCAACAGUGCAAAAACAGAAAUAUGAUUUUAAUAUCAAUUCUG